GACGAACGCUGGCGGCGUGCUUAACACAUGCAAGUCGAACGGAGUGGCGAACGGGUGAGUAACGCGUAAUCAACCUGCCCUUCAGAGGGGGACAACAGUUGGAAACGACUGCUAAUACCGCAUACUGAAGGAGGGGAUUGCGUCGGAUUAGCUAGUUGGGGGGGUAACGGCCCACCAAGGCGAUGAUCAGUAGCCGGUCUGUGGGGGUGGACCGCCACAAUGGGAAUGAGACACGGCCCAGACCCCUACGGGGGGGAGCAGGGGGGGAUCUUCCGAAAUGGGGGGAAGGCUGGAGGCGCAAAGGCGCGGUGGUGGUGACGGCCUUCGGGUUGUAAAGCUCUUUUAAGCGGGGCGCGGUACCGGAAGAGAAAGCACCGGCUAACUACGUGCCAGCAGCCGCGGUAAUUC
rnacentral:rRNA from 1 species